UUUAAAUUUAUAUUUAUCUUUAGCUUAUACUCGAAAUAAGUUUAUUUCUCGGAGACGAGUGGGGAUAAUAAAAACGCACAUCAUAAAUACGGCUACUCAUACCGAAUACAUUUAAAAUAUUAUUGCUCAUAGAAGUCGUCGUGCAAUGUCGGGAACAUAAAAAAUCGUGAUCAGUCACUGCAAUGUCGAGUUGUUGGAUUUUUUGGAUCUAGUAUGAACUAUACCUAUGAAGACUAGUUCUGAUGAACUAUUUAUGCUUCAUGAUCGCAGCCAAUGUGCAGACCAACAAAGAGCUGCGUCGUGCAGCAAUUGGGAAUUAACUACCAAGCUGAAGCUGUUUAUUUUCAUCGAUAAGAUUCUUCGAAAUAUGGCAGAGGGGAAUUGUAGGCCUACCUUUUCAUCAGCAUGACUCCUUUACUUUUGUAUAACGCAAAUAGAUGGUAUCGACUAGUUAUCCAUCUAUCACUACUCAAGAGAACUAAAUUGACCAGAUCGUCUAUCAUCAGGUUUGCAUGAGCAAUUCCAACGAUCGUGAAAUCCAUGUGGUGAACGCUGAUUAUAAAAAAAGGUCAUCGUAGACUACAUUCCAGAAAGUUUAGAAGAGGAUAUCUAAGAUAUACUAUAAGCGAGUGGUGUCGAUAUCACUCAUGAGUUUUUCCACAUCCAAAGGGUAGAGGUGAAGAUCUUAAUGAGUAAAUUGUGGUGAGGGAUAUUUUACUGAGUUCCUCGUCCAACACUGAUGUUUUAAGGCAUUCCACAGUUACUAACACACAUUGAUUCUUGUGGCGAAUGGUGUUCACCAUUACUCUGGUAGAAAUGCCUAUAACGGAACAAACAGCGAAUUAUGUGAAAAUACCUUUUCUAACCGAGCUGAUUAGUGGUUCUUCAGUGGUGUCCAUUAGCGUCAAAACGAACCUUGAACCUCUGGACAAGAAACCUCUCCAAUAGCUUUCUCGAGAAUCAAGCGGGAGUCCAUAGACUUCAUCUUGUGAAGAAGGUUCAGUUUGGCCCUUCCCUAGCAGUAGCAGUAGCAGAGUUGAAACAAGUGUCAAACACCCGAAAAACGAUCCACUGGUGAACCUGGACGACUCUUAAAAACUUUAUUUAGAAUGCCAAAAGGGCCACUGGUUUUUCCGGUCAGGAAUCGCUUUGAAGACUUCCUUAUUUCAUGGAUAGUGAAUUCCGGGAUGGACUUUGUAAACGGCAGUCCUGGUCGUUGCUCCUGGAUUCAAGUCGUCGAAGAUGUUGUAGUCAACCAGGAAGCGUGCAUCAUCCUAUUUUUUAGAUGGGGUCACAGCUAUCCAUGGUGGAUAGCUAUGAAACCUUACUUUCUUUGAACGUAGUCCUAAGACUUUACAAUCAUUAUUGACCUAAAUAUACAAUUCUUUUCAUACUCAUUUUAUUUCUUCACAUUGAUUCUCAUCGGUGCUUUUGUAGCCGUAGAAUAAUCUGUGUACUUAAGUCAACUAAGAUAAAUGGAAUGCUUAGUAAUUUUAAUCGUUUUUUAAAUCCUAAGGUCAUGUCCCAAGUUGUGGUCGAAAUUAUUACGUCUUGGGGUCUCAGCUUUCCGUGAUAUUAUCAACGAUAGAAAGUUACGCAGAGGCUUUUAACUAAACAACUUUAUUUAAUGAAAAAAUAGAUUUACUGGUUUAACUAUUGUGCAUUAAAUAUCGAAAUUGAUAUACAAACACAAGCGAGUAUUAACGUUAGACUAAAUAACGCUUUCCGUGUUUAAGCUUCUGGAACACAUAGUAAUCGGUCUUUUUUGGUCAUAAUAUCCCGUUCAUAGUUCGAUAUAUGAAGGUCAAGUAAGUGUAAUCACUAGUCACCCAAGAUUUCAUCUAACAUGUUAUAGUCAACCAAUGUAUCUACACUCUCGUGCCACAGAGUAACUGUCACCGCUUCUAUUCAUUUGUUGGCGCUGAAGUAAGAAAACUCUCUCCCGGUAAAACUCUCUCAGUAUCUUGGCUAUUCAAUAUAUCAGAGCGUUUAAUUCCACUGGAAUGAUGAACUGAGUUUAACGCGCGGGCCAUGUAUCAUAUAGUUGCCUGAAGUUAGGUUUGUGGUAAAUAUCCGUUCGUGUACAUCCAUUCGUCAAUGUCUCGUGAUUCGGUCAAACCGUAGAUAAACAUCGACGUUAUUUUAGUUCAAUACUGGUUUAAAACCGUUUAAAUAACACCGAAAAGAGCAUUUAUUAUAAAUACACGUACCUACUAAAGUGUCGUCGGUUGUAUCAUCGGAUUGUCGUGCGUACUUAUUGACAACAAACAUAUAUGACUCACUGUUCAUUGAGUAAGUGUUCUCCUUAUUCAGUGAGUGAGUAGUUAGCUCCUAAAAGGGUACCUUACAAUAUUUUUGACAACCAUCCCGUUCAUCUAAAUUUUAAAUAUUUGUACCUAACUACUAAAUUACUUGUUCGGAAUUUGAGUUAAUAUAUCGAAGAAAAAACUAAUUAAAUCAAUUUAUAAUUCCAAUGGACUGGAACGCUGUGGUGUAUUGAAACGCCAAUAUACUGGGCGACUUGUACCGGAAGUGACUUUUCGUACUUCAGCACCAACAAAUGGAAAGAAGCAGUGACGGAGCUCUGUGGCACUGAAUAUGUGAAACCAUGGCUCGACUGUGACAUGCUCGACGAAAUUUAGGGUGAUAAAUGAUUACUUUUACUCGACCAUCAUAAUAUUUGGCCACUAUAUCCAAAAGAACUAUGUGUCCAUGAUGCUUAAACACGGACGCCUUAUUCUGUCCAAUGCUAAUAGCUUUCCGAAUAUCGUAUAUCAAGUAAACGAUUUAUCACACAAUAGUUGACAUUUUUUUAUCAGUACAUACAUUUAUAUUUUCACCGGGGAAAGUCAUUUUGUUGGUUGCCUCGAUGAAACUUUUCGUCAUUGUCAAUAUCAUUGAUGGCCGAGACCGCCGUAUGUCGUGAAAAUCUCGACCUCCAUUUAGGAUAUGACCUUGGGUUUUAAAAACCGAUUAAAAUUCCGAAGCAUUCCAUUGGUUUAGUACAUAACACAGAUACUGUACUUAACGGCUGUAAAAUCGUCGAGAUUCGAGAUCAAAUUAGGAUUGAUUAAAAUAAUAAUUGUUAACACUUGGGUAUUUAGAAUAUUUAGAUACAAUAAUAGCAACAUUCUAGCUGUUUUCGUAGAAUUGCAUAUUGCUGGUUUCUAAACCAGAAAUGCUAACGUGAUAGAUAAACUAUUCGCGGUCACCGAAUCUUCGGGUGACUAUUAAAUCCGUACAAGGACGUUAACCCGUUAUAUCUAUGGGACGUCGAGAGUCGGUUACAUAUCUAAAAUAAUUUUCGUAUUAUCUAACCUUCACACACUACGAGCUAUCUCAUUCAUAUGCCGUUGCUACAUUUUAAAGACAGGCCAACAACCAACGUCUCGACGUUACAUUCUGGUAAUUUUGUGGCUUUAAUUUUUCUGGUUGUAGCUAAAAUAUACUCUAUCAAAAAUAACCAAUUUUUUUUUCGUGUAUAAUAUAUAUAAUAGACUAAUGGUCUAACCUAACCUGGCCUCAAGCCAAUUUUUUUGCAGUCUAACUAUAUAAACCGUCGUAUUUCAGUAGAUACAGGGCCGGUCGCGGUGCAAGCAAAUUUUUAUAUGUAGGCAAAAAUCAAAAUUGCCGCCUCUUGUUUUAUUAUUUUUUCUUAUAUGCCGCCUCUAUACAGGGUGAUUUUUUUAUCGUUGAACACUUUGCAUACAAAGUGUAUACAAAGUGUUCAACGAUAAAAAAAUCACCUAGUAUAUAAAUAUAAAUUUUUCCGUCGUAGGCUUGUGCCUACGUUGCCUACGCCUAUAACCGGCCCUGAGUAGAUACCUGCUUGUAAUGUAUACUCCUCACGUCCCCCACAGUGUAAACCUACGGGUAGGUAUAUUCACAUAUUAUAUAUAUUUUUUCAAUAUAUAAUAUUAUUUAUUCAUAUCCAAACACAGAUCCACUUAACCCUGUCAAUAUAAUCAUUUUAUUGAUCUUUUAUUGUUCAUAAAAUGUUAAUAAGAAGUGCAAGGUAACUCGUAAUUGGGAACCCUUCAACCAUAAUAACUACGUUCAAAAAAUAAAAACAAUGUAUUAUUUUAUCAACACAAAUCUCUUUAAUCAUUGUAUAGUUUCUUAUACAUUAAUAUUAUUUUUUGUAUACUAAUUUUAUAAGUAACCUUUGUUUGCCACGUCAAUAAAUUUAAUUUAUUAUACAUAUAAUAUAUUAUAUCCAUGUAUUUAUCAGAUACUACCAACAAAAAAUGUAAUUUUAUUAUUAUUUAAAUAUCAUAUUGUAUCAAUUGUAAUUUUAUACCUAAAAAAUUAUUAAAACCCUUCCAUUUUAAUGUUUUGAUAACAAUAUCUAUUAUUUAAUGAAAUAUUUAACAUACAUCAAAUCAGGCUGAAAUGUCGCAUAUUAUAUAUUUAUUAACUGUAAAUCGUUCAUAGAAAUCUUAUUAUUAUUUGUAUAUGUACCUGUUGGGCCAGAAAGGCUAUAUCAUUAUAUUAUAGGUACCUACCUAUGAUCUUACUACCUAA